UACGUAGGAGGCGAGCGUUGUCCGGAAUCACUGGGCGUAAAGCGCGUGUAGGCGGGAAGCUCAGUCUGUGGUGAAAGCGCCUGGCUUAACCGGGCGAGGUCCAUGGAAACUAGCUACCUGGAGGCCGGUAGAGGGGGGUGGAAUUCCGGGUGUAGUGGUGAAAUGCGUAGAGAUCCGGAGGAACACCAGUGGCGAAGGCGGCCCCCUGGGCCGCGCCUGACGCUGAGACGCGAAAGCGCGGGGAGCGAACGGG
rnacentral:rRNA from 1 species